CUUACCAGGGAACUACGAGCCCCAGCUUAAAACCCAAAGGACUUGGCGGUGCUUUAGACCCCCCUAGAGGAGCCUGUUCUAGAACCGAUAACCCCCGUUCAACCUCACCCUUUCUUGUUUCUCCCGCCUAUAUACCGCCGUCGUCAGCUCACCCUGUGAAGGCCUCAUAGUGAGCAUAAUUGGUUUAACCUAAAACGUCAGGUCGAGGUGUAGCGCAUGAAAGGGGAAGAAAUGGGCUACAUUCACUGACCCAGUGAAAACGAAUAAUGCCUUGAAACAGACAUUUAAAGGAGGAUUUAGCAGUAAGGAGAGAAUAGAGUGCCCCCCUGAAACUGGCCCUGAAGCGCGCACACACCGCCCGUCACUCUCCCCGAAUAAACUAUACUAGUAAAUAAACAAAUUUCAACUCUAAGGGGAGGCAAGUCGUAACAUGGUAAGUGUACCGGAAGGUGCACUUGGAAAAAC
rnacentral:rRNA from 1 species